GUUGAAGUUCAGGUAACACUGAAUGGAGGACCGAACCGACUUACGUUGAAAAGUGAGCGGAUGAACUGAGGGUAGCGGAGAAAUUCCAAUCGAACCUGGAGAUAGCUGGUUCUCUCCGAAAUAGCUUUAGGGCUAGCCUCAAGUGAUGAUUAUUGGAGGUAGAGCACUGUUUGGACGAGGGGCCCCUCUCGGGUUACCGAAUUCAGACAAACUCCGAAUGCCAAUUAAUUUAACUUGGGAGUCAGAACAUGGGUGAUAAGGUCCGUGUUCGAAAGGGAAACAGCCCAGACCACCAGCUAAGGUCCCAAAAUAUAUGUUAAGUGGAAAAGGAUGUGGCGUUGCCCAGACAACUAGGAUGUUGGCUUAGAAGCAGCCAUCAUUUAAAGAGUGCGUAAUAGCUCACUAGUCGAGUGACACUGCGCCGAAAAUGUACCGGGGCUAAACAUAUUACCGAAGCUGUGGAUUGUCCUUUGGACAAUGGUAGGAGAGCGUUCUAAGGGCGUUGAAGCAU
rnacentral:rRNA from 1 species